AUACUGCAGCACAAGCAACUUGAUGAGGGCUGUAACUAUUUAAUCGCUAUAUUAAAACAAACUUUCUUGUUAUUACAUCUUUGCAGCGAAGUUCAUGCAUUGUCAAAGUUGACACAUGAAGGAGUAAUUCGGUAUUACAACAGUUGGAUAGAAGUUGAUUAAAUUACUCCAGAUAUGAAUGUUGAAAUCAUCUCCUACGCGGUAAAUGGUGGGGAAGGCGAAGAUGGAGAUGAAUCUGCAGAUUCUGCACUUUUAUCUGAUGAUGAAAAUAAGAUACGAUAUUUCAAGAUGGGUGAAACCGUAGAUCCAGUCACCGUGUAUCUUUUGCUCUUUAUUCAGAUGGAGCUGUGUGAAAUCUAAAUUCGGGGAUGUAACUUUAUUCCGCACCUGAAAGGAAGAAUAAGGCUGCAGAGGUUGAUGCCAAGGCUGACAUCUAUAGUCUAGGCAUCCUCCUUUUUGAGCUUAUUUCAAAUUUUAUCUCAGCUACCCACAGGGCAAAGCUUCUCGAACCACUUACUAAAGAUAGAAUCUUCCCGGAAGAGAUAAACACACGCGAUAAAGAAUUUAUUUUACUUCUGUUAUCCGAGCAACCCAAAGAUCGUCCUUCGGGCAAAGGAGAUCUUAGAAUGGUUAAAGCAGUAGAUAUGGAUAUUGCUGGGGUCUAAGCUUGAUGGUAUGUAUUUCCUUGUUAUCAGAGGUUCAGUUAGUAAUGGGUGUUCAUGUGGCAAGCACUUUUUAAGAUUUCAGGUUGUUCAAAAUAUUCAAGUAGACAUUAGAAUGUUAUCCACAGUUUUAUGUUGAAUAGUUUUGUGAAUCCCAUACAGAUGGGGUUGCUAAAUGCACAGGGUAUGUAUUAGAUUUUUGAAACUAUUAGUUCACGUCUUGUAUUUGUUAUCAUGCCUGGUUAUUUUCAUGGUGUGGAUGUUUUAUGAGUCUGAUAGAUAUUCGUGGUCUGGUCAAUUUUGUUUUGAUCAA